rnacentral:rRNA from 1 species
CCUACGGGUGGCAGCAGUGGGGGAUAUUGCACAAUGGGGGAAACCCUGUUGCAGCGACGCCGCGUGGGCGAAGAAGUAUUUCGGUAUGUAAAGCCCUAUCAGCAGGGAAGAAGAAAUGACGGUACCUGAGUAAGAAGCACCGGCUAAAUACGUGCCAGCAGCCGCGGUAAUACGUAUGGUGCAAGCGUUAUCCGGAUUUACUGGGUGUAAAGGGAGCGCAGGCGGCCCGGCAAGCCUGAUGUGAAAGCCCGCGGCCCAACCUCGGGACUGCAGUGGGGACUACCGGGCGGGAGUGCCGGAGAGGGAGGUGGAAGUCCUAGUGGAGCGGUGAAAGGCGUAGAGAUUAGGAGGAACACCAGUGGCGAAGGCGGCCUACUGGACGGUGACUGACGCUGAGGCUCGAAAGCGUGGGGAGCAAACAGGAGUAGAUACCCCGGUAGUC